CGUGAUGAAUUCUAGGGUUCGUCUGGUUUUCCAAGGUCUGAAUCGUUCUACCAACAAUGGCGGCUCUAAGAUGGCGUGUGACUCGACGUUUUGAGAGUAAUCUUCCCGUUGGAAUCUAUUAAUGUCGUUUCAGUCUUGAUGCUUCACCUUCUGAAACGACGAUUCACAUUCAUUCGGCAUCAUAAAAUUUUUUUUAACUCUUUUCCCCACUACAUCCACGAUCUCAAAUUCAAUGAAUCUUAUCCAUCUUCAAUCGGUGAUCCUCAACUAUAAAAAGGCUGUUUGUUGUUCAUCUACGGUGGAGGUGGCGCGACCGCGCCGAUUCUGGGAAGCAAGAAACGUGGUGGCCAGUUGAUGGGUUUAGACUCCUCCUCGACGCUAAGGUUGUUUAGUUCUUUGAACCAUAAUCAUAGUAAUUUUAAAACAAAUUCCGGCAUACAAACUCAAAAAAAUCUGCUAUUCGCACUAUAAAUAGUUGGUCCAGUCUUUCGGAUAUUGUUUCAGUUAUGUCUGUUGGUUUUUCUUCUUCCUAUUUACAUGUGUUUCAGGUGAUUAUAACACCAGCCACCGUGAAUGUCAACCGUCUGACCACUUUCAGAGAUCGCCUGAAGGCUGGAUCAAUUUUCUCUGCCACCGGAUUUGAUGUCACUCGGUGCAACAUAACUUCAGACUCCCAUGACUCUCCUCUAGCGAUUCGAUUCGGUGAUUCCACCGCUCUCGAUGAGUUAACCAAACUCAAGACCCCAAUUCCUGAAGAACGGCUCAGAUUCCGUGAUCACCGUGAGCUGCUUGGCCUAGCCAACACUAACACUUAUCUUCCAGGUAAAUCGUCUUACUAUCGGUUUCUCCUACUCAUUUCUCUAACCAGUGCACUGUUUAGAAAUUAUAUAAGAAGCUGCUGUAAACAUAUAGAGGGCUCAUGCCAAAGAAACUACCUCGCAUUUCCACGUAAGCAAACCAGAUUGAGGAGGUGGUGAAAUUGAUCAGCAAACCAGAUUGAGGAGUUAAAGACGCAAUCAUACCAAGCCAGUAUUAAAAGGUAACGUUCUGGUGAAAACAUUAAAAGAGCUUGGGAUUUUCUCUCUCGGAGAUGCAAUUGAUUGUUGCUGCACGCUACGCUUUGUAAAAGAAGACAUCUUUGUCAUGUGAUAACUAUCUUUGUCAAUUCGUUUUGUAAUUCUAUGCAUCGAUGGAUUGUCUCUUAACUUUUUAAUUCACUCUUGUAUAAUUUUAUCAGACCAAGAUCUUGCUCA